AGAAACAAUAUAUGUCUAUAGUGUAAUAUGCUAUAUAGAGGGAAAGUUCAAGUUAUUUAAUUGUAGGAAGAAAAAAUGCCAAUAUGACUAUAUUAUUGCCAAGUUACACAUUUUGUCUGCUAAGCGAUGAAAUUUAACAAGUGAAGCCAUUGGAAUAGUAAAGAGAAUCAUUUGGCUUUGGAAAGAACAGAGGUAUUAUAUUCAAUAGAUUUCUUUUCUUUAUGUUGAUGCAGCAUUUAUGCCCUCAUCAGUACUUUCCAUUUAUUAGAAGGAUAUUGGUUAAAUUCUAAGUCAAUGAUUUUUCUCUCCAGAAUUUCCUUCUAGCCCUUGACAUUAUUACAUUAUUAAACUACCUUCUAUUGGUCAUAUGAAACUUGGCUUUCCAUAGUAUAACAACGUUAGAGUAGGAGUUAAGGAAGGAAAGUAAAUUAAAAUAUAUUAAACACAAACUACAUUAUAUUUUCUAUAUAAUGCUCUGAUAUAUGAUUUACAAGUUAUGUUUGAAGCUUAAUUGUAAUUAACCACUACUUAAAAUCGAAUUCACUCAUGGCUUCAUUUCCUGAUUCAGAGUUCAAUGUUGUUCCUAUUGCUGGUUUUAUUUCAUUUGAACCUCAAUCUUCUUAAUUAGCUCUGUUUCCUAUCUAUUUAUUUUCAUUUGCCUGGAUGUACUUGAAAAUGCAUCAGGUCCAAAAAAAUUCUUAUUCACCAUUCUGUACAACUCUUCAAAACUCUAGGGUAUGCUACAUGAUAAAAUAAUAAUUUCAACAGAAAAUCGUGAUAUCACUGAAUUUUGUUAUGAGUAACAAGAAUAAUACAUCAAACAGAAGGUAAGAUUUUGUUUUACUACUAGACAGAGAGAAUUCUCCAUUUUAAGUUUGUUCUUUUGCAGUAUAUGUUCUAUCUUUAUAUGGGAAGAAAAUAUAUAAUGGGGCUCAUUUUAUAAAAAGAGAAAUCACCUCAAUUUGUACUUUUAUUUUUCUACAGAAGUAUAUGAAAAAAAAUUUUGCUGGGUAUCCACUCACUUCAAUUCAGCUAUUUGAAGAAAUUAUGAAAAUUCUGAUGAGUUUUAAAAUUCUCAUUUUCUCCAGCAUAGUAUAAACAUGUAUUGGUCUAUCAUCACAGGUAUGCUUUCAUAAAUUUCCUCUUACCAAUCAGAUAAAAAUUCAUACCAAUUUGCAAAAUUGUUUUCUUUAUUUUUCUUAAAGCUUAACACAUAUGAGAAUAUUUGGGAAAAAUUCAUUUUCUCAUCUGUCAUUCUUUCAAUUCAUGGUAACAGUAAAUGGUAUUCAUGAGUAUCUUAAUUAUUUUAGCAAAGGAUGAAAUUCUUAGUAUAAAAUCUGUUAUGCAAAGAAAAUAAUCUAGUGCAAUUUUAUUUCAUGCUAUGAAAAAAAUGCUAUCAUAUUCAAGAGUUUUUUUGUUUACAAAUCUUUGAGAUAUGUUCCCACCAAACAUCAAAUGAUGUUUUUCAUCAGCAUAAAAUGAUGUUGGAUCUCAUACAUUCUCAAAGUAUCAUCCGUACCACCAUCUCAUACCCUCCAUUUUUGUUCCUGCUAUAGUUCCUGGUUUGUUUGUUUUUUAAAUGAUCAAUCACUCACACAUCACAAGGUAAGUACUCUUAUUAUCCUCAUUUACAGAUGAGGAUACUCUGGUAUUAAAAAAGGUUAAAUAAUUCUUAAAAUGUGAACCCAUCUUAUUUUAGUAGUUAGACUUCUAUCCAUCUACUUACUUGCUCAAACAAGGAAUGCCAGAAUGUUGAAGAACUAAAGAGCAUAAGUGAGAAAGUUACACUAUAAGGUAAGAAAAAAUUUAAUAAACUAUGAAAAUGAAAAAAAGCAGCCAACAUUCUGAAACAGCAAAAAAAAUUGUUGGGGACCAAGUAUAUGGAUAUUAAGAUGAAAAGUGGCAAUGAAAUAUGAAUAAGAAGCAACACUAGCAAAAUCUGUGAAAGCUUAAGAUAAUGGAAAGGGAAGAAUAAUAGAAAUGGUGAUGGAUGAAGUACACCAUUUUUCUUGGUCUCUAACAUAUGGUUAUUGAAUAAUUCUAAGAGACUAUUUCCUGUAUUAGUUUCAAUAAAAUAGAGAAUAAAGAAGUAUCUAUGUUUCUGGGAUUAAAGAUAUUGUAGACCUUCAUGAUCUUUUGUGAUUUUUCAGGUGAAUAGUUUAUUAUGUCAGAAGGCAUUAUUGUAUGAUGGUUUAAAGGAUGGACUUUGUAGACAGCCAGGAGCUCAAAUCCUGGCUCUCCAACUUCCUAUUAUGCUUAUGAUCUUGACAGUGGAGUAUCAGAGCCACCUCCUACUGGAUCAUGAUAGCUGAUUAUGUGCAGCUCUUCCCAACAUCGUGUUCACUGACAUCACACUGAUAAUUUGAAAUCAGCCAGGUUGAGAUCAGUUACAUGGCAAAAAUUGGCAAACCAUAUAAAUCAGGGCUUUUACCCCCAUGUGCCAGCUUACCAGCACACCCCUGGACCUUGGGAAAUUCCCUAAUCUUUCUGGGCUUUUAGUUUUUUUCAUCUGAGAAGAAAAAACAAAUACGACAGGUCCUCAUAAUGUUCUGCAUACCUUUCCAAGGAUGAUAUAUUUCACAUGAUGCCUGGUACGUAGUAUAAACAUCAAUAAUGGUAGCACUCUAGUAAUUUAAUUCAUACUAUCACAUAAAACACUGAACCAUUUUGCUUUUCUAACACACUAGAAAACAUUUCAAUUAGUUAAUCAAAAUUCCAGGAGAGGAGGAUUUGUAAAAAUUAUUUCACUGGCUUUACAGAUGGAAUGAUUUCUCCUAUAUAUUUUUAGAUUUUGUAAAGAAGACAAUUGCUAAUACUUGUAUAGUAUAUUUCUUCUGUACAUUAGUUUAGAAAAACUUCUGCUUUCUACAGUGACUCAUAUAGAAGCUCAAGGGCAUCCUUUGGGCUUUUAACCCACCAUCCACUAAAUUAGAUUGUAAAUGGCUUUAGUUCUUCAAAACUUCUCGAUAAGUUAAUUCAAGGACUGAUGUUGGCUGUAUACCCCACUGUUUGGAAAGCUCAAACAGAAGAUUCUGAGCCAGAGGCCACUAUGUCUAUCAAGAUGACAGGCUGUAUGUAUACCUUGAAACUUUGAAGGUAGCAACCGCAGGAAAUAAGGAAUUUAAGAAAAGAUUAAACAGUCUAGAGAUAACCCCGCUAGUUGCUUACUUAACAACUCUCUCAUCUAGGUAGUCUUCAAUAUGGAUUUAUUCUUAAGAUCCUUGUUUCAUUUCUCUGGCCUUGGAAUAUAAUUCUUUGUAAUAUUUUAAGAUAAGUUAUACUUACCCACUUUCCACUAUAGUUCACAAGGUAUGAAGAUCAUCUUAUUGUUAAAAAUAUCAAGUUGAAUUGUAAUGUCCUUUAGUACUUCAAAGAUUUCAUGGUAGAUUGUUUACAAAAAUGACUAAAAUAAUCCCUCCUAUCCCUGUCUGCACACACCUUUUGCAUUAUGACUUUGCUGUUCCUCUCAUCAAGAGCUAGUUUCUCUGCACCUUCAAUCUGGGCUUUAUCAGGUGGCUUGCUUUGGCCAAUAAAACAUCAGGAAACAUGUUGAAAGUAGAGAUUUGACAAGCACUUGCACAUCUGGGCUUGCUGUCUUUGCUGCCCUGAGACUGACAUGCGAAGAAGCUUGAGCUAGCUUCCUGGAGGAUGAGAGACCACAUGGGGUGGAGAUGGGACAUACCAUCUAAGGUCCCCAAUAUCAACCAACCUGCUAAACACCAGGUACAUGAGCAAGGCCAUUCUAGAUUAUUUAGCCUUAGAUGACCUGUCUGCUAACUGGACAAUCAACUUAUCAUCCCACAGAAUAAUAAGCAAAAAUAGAAUAGUUGUUGUUUGAAGCCAGGGGUCAGCCAAUCUAUACAGCCCAUGAGCCAAAUGUAGAACACGACAUGUUUUUGAAAAUAAAGUUUUAUUGGAACACAGCCAUAGUUAUUUGUUUAUGUAUUGUUUAUUGUUCCUUUCAUACUGCAAUGGCAGAGUUGAAUAGUAAUUGUAACAAAGACUAUAUAGGCUUCAAUGCCUUAAAUAUUUACUAUCUUCCCAUUACAGAAAAAAAAUUGCUGAUCUCUGUUUUAAGCCACUAAGUUUCGGGGUGGUUUGUUAAGUAGCAAUAGAAAAAUGACACAGACUUAUUUUCCAAAAAAGGGAGUAUAUCUCAUUUCUUAUUAAGCUAAUAAAGUCCUAUGCUCAUAACAAAAUACAUGCAUUUUUUUCAGCGUCAAUAAUCUCUUUUAUGGGAAAAAUAAUACCAUUUCAGUUUGCAUGUCUAAAGUACAGUUAUGGGGACUGCUAGCUGUACACCAAUAUCUGUUUUUUCCUUUUUCCAUAGUAAUACAUUUGGCAACGGGCUUAUAGCCACUCAGUCCGAGAUUACAACUAUGAGCCUGAUUCUCAGUUGUGUGUGACCACAGGACAAAGUUUUCACUUCUGGACUAUGAACGGAAAUGAUAUAUUUUUGCACAGACUGAAACCUUCAGACACUCUUGUCCCAUUCCCAAACUCUGAGGAAAGCUUUCAAUAAAAUGGAAGAUUCCAACUGUUCCCAGCUUACACAAUUCUUUUCUUUUCAUGAAUUGUAUUUUAUUUUUCUUUAUCUAUUGAUAUGAUUGUAUCUAUUUUCUCCUUUUUUUUCCAUUAAGGUCAAUUAUAUUGAUUUAUUUUUUGUUGCUAAAACACCAUUACAAUUCAUGGAAUAAAACUGACUCAUUUUAACACACUGCACUUGUUGGUGCAGGAUUUUUUUCAUCUGUGUUCAUGUAAAAAAAUUUGUGUGAUUUUAAUUUUUUAAAAUAUUUCCAGAUUUUCUGGAAUUAUACAGCCCUCAUAAAAAGAAUGGGAAGUUUUUCUUCUGUUUUUUUUUGUUUGUUUGUUUAAAUCCUCUGGAAGUGAUUCUAUAGAAUUGGUGUUGUUUCUUCAUAAAUAUUUUGAAGAAGUCACUGGUGAAAUCAACUUGACAGGAUAUUUUUGUGUAAAAUUUUCAAUAAUGGGUUCCAUUAUUAAAAUAGACACAGAAUUAUUUAAUUUUCUAUUACUUUUCCUGAUGUCUUUGGCAAAUUUUGUUUUUUAAGGUAUCUAUUCCUUUCAUCUAAACUGUCAAACGUAUUUGUGUAAAGUUAUUCAAAACAUCCUUUAUUAUCUUUCUAAUAUCGAUAGAACCUAUAAUGACAUCUCAUUUUUGUUCCUGAUUUUCGUAAAAAUGAUUUUCUCUCUCCUUUUUUUUUUUAAAAAAACUUGGUCAGGCCUGUCUCCUAUCUCCAAGUGAUAAUCAAUUUUAUUAUUCAAAAACAAAAGACAACUUUGCACUUUGUUGAAUUUUUCUGUUGUGUGUUUGCUUUCUAUUUCAUCUUUUUCUACUUUUAUUUCAUUCAAACUACUAUUCUGUGUUUAAUAUGCUGUUCCUUUUUCUAGCUUUUUGAGAUGGAAACUUUGAUAUUCAUUAUUAGCCCUUUCUUUUCCAAUAUAAGAUGUUAAAGCUAUAAAUUGUCUCUAGAGAACAUUGCUGUAACUAAGAUUUCAUGUGCUGUAUUAUUAUUUAGUUCCUAAGAUUUUCUGAUUUCCACUGUGGUUUUGACUUUCAAUCAUGCAAACUAAAUUGCUUAAUUUCCAAAAGUUGGAGAUUCUCUAGUUAUCUCUGUUAUUACUUUAUAGCUUAAUUCAGCAGUGACCAGAAGCCUAUACUCUGUAUUAUUCAAUUAUUUGAAACUUUUUUUUGGAAUUCUUCUUAUUUUUAUGGAACUUGCCAAGUUUAGAUUUUGGUACAUAUUCAAUAUGCAUUUAAAUAAUGUAUAUUCUAUCAUGAUUGUAUGCACUGUUCAAUUUAUGCCAAUAAAUAAUUUCCUGUGUUGUUCAGAUCUAUAUUCUUACAAUGUUUUUGUCUGUUUGUUCUAUCAGCUAUGAAUAAUGGUGACUUAAACUCUCUCAUAUGCUUUGGACUUGUUUAUUUCUCUUUUUACUUGUGUCAACUUUUGCUUAUAUCUAUCAUUCUAUCUAUCUAUCAUAAUAUAUAUUUGCUAUGUUAAUAGGUGUAUACAAAUUUACAAUUGUAUAUUCUGUUGUUGCUUUGACCUACUAUUAGUAUGAAAUAGUUCUUUUUUCUGUACAAAUUCUUCUAAUCUUAAAACCGAGUUUGUCUUAUAUUAAUGUAAUACCCAACUUCCUUUUGAAUACAUUCUUAUAUAUCUUUUCAUAUUCUUUUACAGUCACUCUUUUUGUGCCCUUAUACUUAAGACAUACUUCUAAUAAGUAGCAUAGUUAAGCUUUAUUUUUUGUCUUUUAGUCAGAAUAUUUAAUGCCUUUUUAUUUAGUAGAGUUACUGAGGGGGUUGAUAGGUAUUAUAUAAUUUGUUUUCUAUAUAACCCAUCUGUUUUAUAGUUUUAUGUCCUUUCUUAACUUCUUUGGGGUUAAUUAUAUUUUGCCAUUCUAUUUCCCUACUAUUUGUUAGUUCUAUGUUCUUUUUUCUUCUGUGAUUGCCAUAGUUACUAAAAUAUGCAUCCUUGUCUAUAAAUUAUUGCUUUUUCAUUGCUGAGAUCUUGGAAUGCUUUGCCUCAAUUUAUUCCCCUCUCCCCUUUUGUGUUAUCUUCUUCUCUGCUUUAUUAAGGUAUAGUUGAGGUAAAAAUAAAAUUUUAAGAUUUUUAAAGUGUGCAAUGUUAUGAUUUAUACAUUAUGAAAAUAUUAUCCUCGUUGAGAUAAUUUUUAUUAUUAUGAUGCACUUAAUUAUAUAACAUUGUAAAGUGCUCAAGACAUUAGUAUUGUUCCUUAAUAUCAAUAUUCAUUUAUAUUUACUCCUAUACUUACCUUUUCCUUUCUUUUUUUUUUCGGUACGCGGGCCUCUCACUGUUGUGGCCUCUCCCGUUGUGGAGCACAGGCUCCGGACGCGCAGGCUCAGCGGCCAUGGCUCACGGGCCCAGCCGCUCCGCGGCAUGUCGGAUCUUCCCGGACCGGGGCACGAACCCGUGUCCCCUGCAUCGGCAGGCGGACUCUCAACCACUGUGCCACCAGGGAAGCCCUAUAUAUAUGUCUUAUCCAAUCAACAUUUUAGUACAUAUACUAUUUUAAAUGGCUUGCAAAAGUAUUUGGAACAUCAUGGAUAUAAUAAACAUAUUAAAAUCAAACAAAAAUUAAAAAGCUUAGAGAAAAUAAAAUCAGAGAUAAGGUUAGUACAAAAAACACGCAUGGGUUUUGCAGGGUUUUGGAAAAAACCUGCCUGUUUUUUGAGCUUCUCACAAGCCAAAGAGGAAAGAAGCAGUCAGUUAUGAGACCAGUGUCUGAAAGAUAAAAAGUAUACCGGUUGAUUAGAAGCAAUAUGAUUUGUCCUGAGAUCUGAGAGAAACUUCUGCCUUAGGCAAGUUCCCUCCCACCUAGAUGCAAUAACUAAAAAAAAAAAAAAAAAAAAAAAAAUUUUUU